GACCUGGCUGGGCGGUCUUGCCGCAAGGUAAGCACUGCUCCGGUUGGGUCUUUCCUUCUGGGGAACCAGCGUGCUCUUAACUGCGUGCGCUGGGGAUCCAGGACUUUUACUUUGAAAAAAUUAGAGUGUUUAAAGCAGGCUUACGCUUGAAUACAUUAGCAUGGAAUAAUAGAAUAGGAC
rnacentral:rRNA from 1 species